GUGGCCUUCAGACCAGCAGGAUGGUCCUACUCUACAGAUCGUAUUAAAAACAUCAACACACCACGCGAGCCACCAAAAGCAACGGCAGCAGCUCAUGGCCUUCUCAGGUGGUGAGACGAAAGUGCAAGAACCACCAGCCCAGUGGAAAUCCAUUUACUACUUGGGUCUGCAAUUUUCUGUGGUUGAACCAAUGAGAAAGAUGAUGACUGCAGGAAAAAAAAAAAAAAAAAAAAAAGAUAAAAAGUUCUUCCAAGCCAUGACUAAGGAAAUGAAGGAAACUGGAAGAGUUUGGUAUUAGAAAUAGAAGGACGAUGUUACAGAGUAGGACCAAGAGCACAAGAUUUGGAACUUGAUGACCCAGCUCUGCUACUUGGUACAAAUAACUUCGAGGAGGUACGUCACUUAACCUUUCUGGGCCUGUUUCCUCAUCUGU